UUAGGUUUCAGGAAUGAUGAAAGUGAUUCAUCCUGAAGUCUGUGCCCCCAACAGUCUGGGGGACCAUGAACCGACCCUCUGCAUAAAACGUUUGAGGAACCCUGCUCUAAAGCAACAGAAGCAUGGGAUGUGGAAAUGAAUCUUCAAGCAGAUCUUACACUCCAUCAAAGCAAAUCUUGUUAUGUGCAGCCAAAUCAUUAGACAAAGAAAAUGCUUUAACAAGAAUUUCAAAAAAUAUGAAUAUGAAUGUGGGACUACAAGAAUGCAUAGAAGAAGAAACAGAAAUUCAUAAUGAUCAACAUUUGAAGCCUGAUUUGGAGGGAUUGAAUCAUGAAACUAAAAUAAUUGAGGCUAAGACAGAAUCAGAAGGAAAUGAUGAAGAAAUGAAAAAUUCUAAUAAUGUGGAAACGAUUAGUAACAAUGAGGUCACAGCAGAAAUUCAAAAGGACAACGUGGAUAAACAAACUGCUGAUGAGAAGCCGCCAGAUAGUUCAGAUGAUGAUGACAGCAAUGGACAAAGUGACAAUAAAGUGAAAAAGAGAGUUGCACCACUGCAAUUAAUGGCAGAGGUACAAGUUCCAUUCAAAAUCAUUCGUAUACAAUAGAGUCUCGCUUAUCCAACCUCCACUUAUCCAAUGUUCUGAAUUAUCCAACACAGUCUGCCUCCUGCCCGGAUCCACAGCUAUUUCUUUAGGCAGCAAGGACUGAACUUUUAAUAGAUUUAAUUUCCGACAGUGUUAUUACUGCAAAUUUAUUUUAUGCAAUUCUAUCUUUAUCUGUAGUCAAUUUGUUAGUAGCCAAUGUUUUUAUAGUCAAUGUUUUCAAUACAUUGUGAUGUUUUGGUGCUAAAUCCGUAAAUACAGUAAUUACUACAUAACGUUACGAUGUAUUGAACUGCUUUUUUUGACGAUUUGAUGUAAAACAUGAUGUUUUGGUGCUUAAUUUGUAAAAUCAUAAUGUAAUAUGAUUCUAAUAUUUAUCCUCUAGACUGCACCACUUUCUUAUGACCCGGUUUUUUGUGGUUUUAUUCUUAUGUCUUUCUCACCCCGAGUUUUAACUUAAUGUUCAUGUGGCCCGCCCUUGUUUUUAUUGUUUCCUUGAUUUUGCAUUGUAAUGGAUAUUAUUAUUUAUUGUAUUGUUCACUGUGUUGUGAUGUGUUGUUCUUU
rnacentral:lncRNA from 11 species